UGGAAAAAAAAUUCUGAGAGAGAGAGAGAGAGAUGAAGCCUAUUCAAUUUUUUUUUGCUGGAAGGAAUUUGAUGGAAAGCUAAGAAUUAAAGAUAAAGGAAGAUCUUGAAGACUAAUAGGUGAUCUGGCGCGUGACCAGGCCUAGAGCUUCUGCCUGGACUUUGUUUUGUCAACCAACCUAUAAGCCUCCCGUAGAGGUUCCGAAAUGUCAAGUGGUUAUGGCUAUGUGCAUAGAGUUCAAGUUUUGAUUUCUUGUUUUUGUUUAUUUUGUAUUUAGGGCCAAGUCCCUUUUUGUCUAGUCUCUAUAUGUAUAUGAUGAUGUGUAAAUGUAUGUAUAUAAAGUUCAAAAAUUUUCUGUCUCA